rnacentral:rRNA from 1 species
GAUGAACGCUGGCGGCGUGCCUAAUACAUGCAAGUCGAGCGAACAGACGAGGAGCUCGCUCCUCUGACGUUAGCGGCGGACGGGUGAGUAACACGUGGAUAACCUACCUAUUAGACUUGGAUAACUUCGGGAAACCGGAGCUAAUACCGGAUAAUACAUUCUACCGCAUGGAUCAGUAGUGCAUGACGGUUUUCCCGUUACUUAUAGAUGGUUCCGCGCCGCAUUAGCUAGUUGGUAAGGUAACGGCUUACCAAGGCAACGAUGCGUAGCCGAGCUGAGAGGAUGAUCAGCCACACUGGAACUGAGACACGGUCCAGACUCCUACGGGAGGCAGCAGUAGGGAAUCUUCCGCAAUGGGCGAAAGCUUGACGGAGCAACGCCGCGUGGGUGAAGAAGGUCUUCGGGUCGUAAAGCUCUGUUGUUAGGGAAGAAAAGAAGUGUAAGUAUCUAUGCACGUCUUGACGGUACCUAAUGAGAAAGCCACGGCUAACUACGUG